ensembl:snoRNA small nucleolar RNA SNORA43
GCUGCCCUGUGGGUGCUGGACCUGAGGCUGCUGUGCUGCACCUGUGACACCAGGGCACAGAGGAAGUGGCUAUUUCUACGCUCAGUGCUCAGAACAGUGGGCACUAAGAGUGGUUUGUAGCCUGACAUUC